rnacentral:rRNA from 1 species
UACGAAGGGGGCUAGCGUUGCUCGGAAUUACUGGGCGUAAAGGGCGCGUAGGCGGAUAGUUUAGUCAGAGGUAAAAGCCCAGGGCUCAACCUUGGAACUGCCUUUGAUACUGGCUAUCUUGAGUUCGGGAGAGGUGAGUGGAAUGCCGAGUGUAGAGGUGAAAUUCGUAGAUAUUCGGCGGAACACCAGUGGCGAAGGCGGCCUUCUGGACAGUGACUGACGCUGAGACGCGAAAGCGUGGGGAGCGAACAGG